GUCGUGAGAUGUUGGGUUAAGUCCCGCAACGAGCGCAACCCUUGUCAUUAGUUGCUACAUUGAGUUGGGCACUCUAAUGAGACUGCCGGUGACAAACCGGAGGAAGGUGGGGAUGACGUCAAGUCCUCAUGGCCCUUAUGGGUAGGGCUUCACACGUAAUACAAUGGCGCGUACAGAGGGUUGCCAAGCCGCGAGGUGGAGCCAAUCCCUUGCAAAGCGCGUCGUAGUCCGGAUUGCAGUCUGCAACUCGACUGCAUGAAGUCGGAAUCGCUAGUAAUCGCGGAUCAGCAUGUCGCGGUGAAUACGUUCCCGGGUCUUGUACACACCGCCCGUCACACCAUGGGAGUGGGUUUCACCAGAAGCCGGUCGCUUAACCCGCAAGGGAUGGCGCCGACCACGGUGAGAUUCAUGACUGGGGUGAAGUCGUAACAAGGUAGCCGUAUCGGAAGGUGCGGCUGGAUCACCUCCUUUCUAGAGAAAAGCGCGGUUGCCUCAGCGCCCACCGUCUAUCGGUUGUUUCCAAGUUCGUGACCUUAAAAGAGGGUCUGUAGCUCAGUUGGUUAGAGCACCGUCUUGAUAAGGCGGGGGUCGAUGGUUCGAAUCCAUCCAGACCCACCAUCCACUGAGACAAGACGAAGGACGAAGGACCCGGUAGGGGCCAUAGCUCAGCUGGGAGAGCGCCUGCUUUGCAAGCAGGAGGUCACCGGUUCGAUCCCGGUUGGCUCCACCAGCGAGAGAGUCGGGGCAGUUCGGUAGGGCAAGAGAUUAGAAGAGAGAGCGAGGCUGCGUGUGAGCCGCGUUCUCUCUUCUGGCCUCUUCAGGCCAGGGAAUCAAUCGGCUGAUCUUUAACAAUCUGGGAAAAGAAGGUAGUUGUUCUUGUGAAAGGACGUUGUGAUGACGUUCGAGUAGCGAGGACACUGGGUUAUGUAUUGCAUCGUGUUCUGCGCUCAAAGGAUUGGGCGUGGAAGCACAAACUUAAGCGUGAGAGUUAAACCUAUGACGGCGUGAUGGCGUGAGCGACUUUGGCUUGCGUCGCUUCCUUUAUUGGAGGCAGCAAGGUUAUAGGGUCAAGCGAAUAAGUGCAUGUGGUGGAUGCCUUGGCAAUGAUAGGCGAUGAAGGACGUGACAGCCUGCGAUAAGCUGCGGGGAGCCGGCAAAUGGGCGCUGAUCCGCGGAUUU
rnacentral:sRNA from 1 species